GAUGAACGCUGGCGGCGUGCCUAAUACAUGCAAGUCGAGCGAACAGACGAGGAGCUUGCUCCUCUGACGUUAGCGGCGGACGGGUGAGUAACACGUGGAUAACCUACCUAUAAGACUGGGAUAACUUCGGGAAACCGGAGCUAAUACCGGAUAAUAUAUUGAACCGCAUGGUUCAAUAGUGAAAGACGGUUUUGCUGUCACUUAUAGAUGGAUCCGCGCCGCAUUAGCUAGUUGGUAAGGUAACGGCUUACCAAGGCGACGAUGCGUAGCCGACCUGAGAGGGUGAUCGGCCACACUGGACCUGAGACACGGUCCAGACUCCUACGGGAGGCGGCAGUAGGGAAUCUUCCGCAAUGGGCGAAAGCCUGACGGAGCAACGCCGCGUGAGUGAUGAAGGUCUUCGGAUCGUAAAGCUCUGUUAUUAGGGAAGAACAAAUGUGUAAGUAACUAUGCACGUCUUGACGGUACCUAAUCAGAAAGCCACGGCUAACUACGUG
rnacentral:rRNA from 1 species